CUCUUUCGCUAUAUUGAAAUUAUUUUUAAAAAUAACAGAAAUAUAUUAAAAUGUUAUGAUUUGAUUAAAUUUGUCGUUGAAUUCUAAUUGGAUUAGAAUUAAUAUUUAAAUACAUUGGAAAUAAAUUAAUUAAAAUUCAAAUACUAAUUAGAGUAAAGAUUUAAUUGGACUAGAAUUUAAAUAGCUUUUGAUAUAAAAUAUAAAUAUAAUAUAGAUGCUAUUAUUUUGGUGGUGGUGGUACAGUUUCGUCACACCAUAAUAAUAUAACUAAGAUGGUCAUGACUUUGGAUGUGCCUAGUGUAUUGGUAUAAGAGAACAUGUGCGGCUUUCGUGGCCAUGGAUCAGUGGUAUAUCUUGUGUAUAGGUUCACAAGAUGAGAGAGAAAGAAUUUUGGGUUUAUAGAAGAUGAAAGAAGGGUGAAAGAGAUUCAGAAAGAGGGCUCGGAUUGAAGCUACUCUGUGUAGAAAAAAUGUCAGGUGUAAUUCUUCUCUUGUUUAGUGAAUUUGAUUUCACCCAUAUUUUCUAUUUGGUUUUUUCUCUAUUUUGUAGUUAUACCAAUUUUUGCUAAGGAGAUAAAUUUAUGAUAAAAAUUUGAUAUGACGUUUCUAUUGCGAAAUCUCAACAAUCGAUACCGAAUUCAGUAUCAAGUCAGCAAUAGUCAAUAUCAGAGUGGAUUGUGAAUUCUCAAAAUCUAGUAUCACAGCGAAUAUCAGAUUUCCAACAGUAUUGUAUUCAAAAACAGUUGGUUGAUAUUCAGUUUACGGAAUUAAAAGUUGAGAAUGCGAUUCAUAAAAUCUAUUUCUAUCUAUUACAUUAAAGGAGGGUUGGGGAACCUUAGGUUGACACCUGUCCCCCAACCCUCCACUUCAUUCUCUCUCUCCACACACACACACAUACACACAUACAUAAAU
rnacentral:lncRNA from 1 species